rnacentral:snoRNA from 1 species
AAGACUUGAGAAAUGUGUUUCUAAAGUGUAUGGUCUUGCUGCCCACGAUGAAGAGUUGGUGAUGCUCCUUCUUGAACAUAAAGAAUGUAGAGACUUGGUUCAUCCAUGUUCUCUGUUACUGAUGACUGUUCACUGUUUCUUCUAGAGACGGUGAGUGAAGGAGUGUGAUCUGAGUGGU